CGGCGAGAUCCGCGGGCGCUUGCCCGUUGGGGAAGAGGACCUUGAUAGGUGGGCCCCCCUGUCAGUGGUUGGUGGCGGGUGCGCGCGAAACUAGGCUGGCUGGGCUGUGGUCGGGCGCGGGGGAAAUGGGACGGUUCGGCCCAAUUCGGCCGGGCCGGUCCGUUUCUUUUUUUUUUCCUUUUAGCCUUUUCUCUUUUUCUUUUUCUAUAAAUCCUUUGUAACUUUUGAUUUUGAACUCCAAAUUAGUCCAAGUAAAUUCCAGAAAAUUUGUAAAAUCAUGUUUUAUCAUGAUUCAACUUUUGGGAGUAAUUUCCCCUCAAAAUAAAAUAUAUAAAAAUACAUUUGCCCUAUAAAUGCCUUUAGGGCUAUAUAACUAUUUAAAUAAAAUAGUUUUUCACCUCCAAAUAGUUAUCCAAAAAUUAUGGGAUAGCUCAUAUAUGCAAUAAACCCCAUUUAUAGAUAAACCCUAUUGGUUUUAAGAUCGAAAGUUCAAAUGGGUGAAGCCCUAGGGUUUAAAAUGAAAUAAAACCUUUUUAAAACCUUUUGAGACUCAAAUUUGAAUUCAAAUAUGCAAUUGUGGCCUGAUGCUCAUGGAUGCAAUGCAUAUGAAAGGUUUUGAAUUUUUGGGAUGUUACAUUACAUAGGCCUAAAAAACCUAGAUCGAUGGGCAUAGCCAGGUCUCGCAUGCCACGUUUUGGGCCAUCCAGUCAUGCACAUUCUGGCUACUUUGGAUGGGUUUGUAAACACAUAAAAAAAAGUAAAAUUACUUUUGAUUUGUGUUAUACUAUUUUUGUUGCUCAACAGACGGUAUAG
rnacentral:lncRNA from 1 species